GAUAUGGCUCAGGACGAACGCUGGCGGCGUGCUUAACACAUGCAAGUCGAACGGGAUUUAGUAGACGGAAGCCUCGGUGGAAGAUUACUAAUGAGAGUGGCGAACGGGUGAGUAACGCGUGAGCAACCUGCCUAUGACAGUGGGAUAGCCUCGGGAAACCGGGAUUAAUACCGCAUAAAAUCGUAGAAACACAUGUUUCAACGGUCAAAGAUUUAUCGGUCAUAGAUGGGCUCGCGUCUGAUUAG
rnacentral:rRNA from 1 species